GGAGGAGGUGAUUUUGACAGACCGUGGCCGCCAUAUUUGUUUACGGAUUUGUGUCAAAUUGUGUCAGUGAAAAAGUCCAUAGUCUGAAACGAAAAAUUCAUAAAUUUACGUUAAUCAAAAUAUCAUCAUCACAGAAGACAACCUUCAGCACGCUAUAGCCGAUAUUUCAGACGAAAUGCUGCACCGGGUCAUUGAAAAUUUGAGUAAAUGGAUAUGCAAUCGGAGCCAUGAUGGAUACCUCUGGAUCUUUGUCAUGGAGUAUUCAGAAGCUUGCCAAGGAAAUGACAUUUUAAGGAUUAUUCGUCAUUUUUCGUAACUAUGAAUAACUUUCACUUCGGAUCAGUCACAAUCAAAAUAAAAUUUACUUAUUGGUGUACACGACGUAUGAGUAACUGUUUCGAACUCUGAGAUAUUCCAGGUGUGACCAUGAAUUUAAGCUUCUUAGUUUGGUUUUUACUUAUUAGAUACCUGCAUG